CAAGUCCUCGUGUCCAGGAAGCUGCCCACCGGUCCUCCAGGAGGCCUUCAACCAGACCCUGUCCAUGCCCAGCCAGGGCCCACCCACCUGACGGACAGCGUGAAGCCCCCCGGGCUGCUCUCACUGGGCCUGGCAAGGAAGUCCCCACGCUGACCUCUGGAUAGGAACAGCUUCUCCGCCUCCACCCUGCUGAUGUUGGGGUGAAACCACCUGGAGUGGGGAGAGCAGCCUCCACGGCCAGGAUCUCGGACUUCCAGCCUCCAGAGCUGAGGGAAGGAGCGCCUGCCCGCCCAGCUUAUGGUCACUGUUUCAGCAGCCCAGCUGCCUGACGACGGGUUCUUAUCUCCCAGAGGGCAGAAGCUGUUCCCCGCACUGUGGCGUCCCAGGUCCAUAACACUGGAAUUGAGACACUCAGUAGAGGGAUGGGGGUCGGGGGGAGGAGGGGGUGGUGCACAGGGAGGGGCCGAGAGGCCAGCGGGUGCCUGUGCGGCCCCUGGGAGCCGUGCUCCGUGUCCGGGGCAGGUCAGGAAGCUCGGGGGAUGUCACUGCAAACCUCGCGGCCCCAUGCAGGCAGAGGCUGGUGCUGCCGGCAUCUGGAGGGGAGGCUGAGGCUGCAGCCCUGCCCCUUCCUGGUGAACAGCCCCCCCGUCCCAGGACCUUCCUAGUCUGCAGCCCCCCAUGAGGUCAGGGCUGCCCCGGAGCCCACGUCCGAGAUCACAACUGCUCCUUACUUUUGUGGCACUGGACUCCGGAGCUCAGGACUACAUUGUACUCAGGCGGCAGCCCCAGAGCCCAGAAUGUCAGCAAAAAAGAGCCACACCCGUGAGUG
ensembl:lncRNA novel transcript